rnacentral:lncRNA from 1 species
AGAACAAAAUAUUCUUUUUAUUCAUUAAAAUCUUUACAAAGAAAAAGCCAGUGCUCCAAGCACUUUACAAAGAAAAAGCUGGUGUUUCAAAUACUUUAGAGGACAGUUGCUCCAGGCACCAUCUUGCGAACAAGAGAAGAAAAUGAGGAAGGUAAGAAGAAGAAGAGGAGGAUAGCAGAAGAAGAAGAGGAGGACAGCUGAAGAUG